AAAACGACUCUCGGCAACGGAUAUCUCGGCUCUCGCAUCGAUGAAGAACGUAGCGAAAUGCGAUACUUGGUGUGAAUUGCAGAAUCCCGUGAACCAUCGAGUCUUUGAACGCAAGUUGCGCCCCAAGCCUUCUGGCCGAGGGCACGUCUGCCUGGGUGUCGCAAAUCGUCGUCCCC
rnacentral:rRNA from 1 species